rnacentral:rRNA from 1 species
UUAGAUGGCGACCGGCGCACGGGUGAGUAACACGUAUCCAACCUGCCGAUGACUCGGGGAUAGCCUUUCGAAAGAAAGAUUAAUACCCGAUGGCAUAGUUCUUCCGCAUGGUAGAACUAUUAAAGAAUUUCGGUCAUCGAUGGGGAUGCGUUCCAUUAGGUUGUUGGCGGGUAACGGCCCACCAAGCCUUCGAUGGAUAGGGGUUCUGAGAGGAAGGUCCCCCACAUUGGAACUGAGACACGGUCCAA